rnacentral:rRNA from 1 species
AUGGUGUUGCUUGACAUCAGGGGCAUGCUACAGUCCAUGGGCAAAGACAUAGCGUUGUUCCCUCUUCCGGACAUCGACGAGACCUAUGACACUACUGGAGGUGAGGCCAGAGAAGUCAUCGAGGAGUCCGCCAUCGAGGUUGACGCGAACGACGCUGAUUUGGCGUCCUCGCUAAACCCUGAGCAGAGGCUUGCAUACGACGAGAUACUGGCAGCAGUUGAUGCUGGUGAUGGUGGUGUAUUCUUUGUCGAUGGCCCGGGAGGCACCGGGAAGACCUUCCUAUAUAGGUCACUUCUCGCAAAGGUUCGAGGUGAGGGCAAGAUUGCACUAGCUACAGCGACAUCAGGCGUCGCGACUUCCAUCAUGCCUGGAGGAAGGACAGCCCACUCGAGGUUCAAGAUCCCACUC